rnacentral:lncRNA from 1 species
GUCCCGGGGGGGCCUGCCGCAGGAGCGGGGCGCCUCUUCCGCACCUCCAGGUCACGGGGAACCUGGUGGUGACUGCUGGCUCCAGGGCCUGCCAGGCUGUGGGUCACCAAGCAGUUUCCUGUGGAAAGCCUCCCACCGGAACUCCCUGGGGUAGGUUUUAAAAAUGAAGCCUUUUUGUGCCUUCAGACGUCGUUUUACUUUAAGAACUCAUUGUAUAUCUUUAUGUCCUUUUUUAGAACAAAGAUGCAUUUAUUUUACAGAGAGAAGGGGAGUGUGCAGGAGUGGGGGGGAGAGGCAGAGGGAGAAGGAGACAAGCAGCCCCCCUGCUGAGGGGGGCUCCAUCCCACCACCCUGAGAUCAUGUUCUGGGCAGCAGUCAAGAGUUGGGUGCUUAACUGACUGAGCCACUCAGGCGCCCUUCUUUAUAUCUUUUUUUAAGUAAGGGGAAUGGAAUCCGGUUUUGCUGAGAUGUUAAACCCAAACUCCCCAGCGUGUGGGCCAUGUGUUACACAGCUGAGGACACAGGUGUGGGGGUCACAGGGGUCAGAUGUAGAGAACGGACAGCACGUUUCAGUAAGUGGACCAGCUCCGGAUUUCCUGUGGCUGAGAGACGGUGUGCAAGGCAUGGGCCGCACCCCUGGUCUUCCAGAAGCAAACACCAUCCUGGACGGUGAGGGCCACGGAGCUGAUGGCCAAGCAAACACCAUCAAACCCCUGGCUCAGAAAAACAAGCAGAGCCUGCCCACAAGGAUCUGUAGAUGCUACUUUUCGUUCAGAGACAUGACGUUCCCGUUGGUGGUCAAGUGUCUGGGCUCCUCCAGCCUGCACCGUUGUUAUCGGAACAAGGCUUCGAAAACCUGCUGUUGGGUCUGGCCCCGCUGGACAUUGACAGCCACCUCGCUCAGUGCCUGGCGGGAAGCACAGAAGACGUGGUGUGGUGAGCCGACAGCCCUGCGAGUCCAGCCAGGCGGACGCCCAGACUCCCUCUGCCUGAACCGUGUCCUUCCCGCUUCGACCGCUGUAGUAAACUUCAGUGUGGACCCCGGUGUUGUGUGUUUGUAUCGGGAGCGAAACAUGGGCCCCUUUGUCUUUUCGGAUUACGUUAAGCCGAGUGCUCGCCUGCCGUUCGAACUGGCAGAGCCGCUCAGCAGAGGGACCCAGGCCCAGGUGGAGGAGCUGAGACUCCGGAGCAGAACUGGCCGGGUCUACAGAUGGGCCGUCGGCGGGGUAGCACGUUUUCCCGUCUCCACGGACUGCACUCGCACCGGGUUUUAACUCCCCGAGGAACUGCUCCUUAUGCGGGGCAGGCCGCCGUGAGGCGCCCGCGCAGCUCACCGACGGGCGGGCGGGGACCAGCGGGAGGGACCGGGCCAGGCGCCACGGGCAGCAGGCAGGCCANNNNNNNNNNNNNNNNNNNNNNNNNNNNNNNNNNNNNNNNNNNNNNCUUCCCAGGGCAAGUAGAAAAUGGGGCACAAGACUGUUUAUAGGUAGUUUUCCUUCCAGUGCUGCCGGCCCACAGAUUCUGGAAGAGCUGGGCUUUGGUGGCAUCCACCGUGGCCGCAGAGCAGUGGCGGCAGGGAGCCGGUCACGAUCCACAAAGAGACCGUGGAGGAACCUAACUGCAGGUGACCAAGGGAAAGACGCCUGUCUGCAAAGGCCGCACGCUGUAUGACCCUCGCUCUAGGGGCUUCUGGAAAAGGCAGAACUGCAGAAACAGUAAGGAGACCCGUAGUCACCCGAGGACGCGCACAUGGGACUUUCGGGGCAGCGAGGCUACUUGCGUGAUCUGCACUGGUGGAUACAGGUCACCAUUUGUCCCAACCGCGCUCUGCACCCCCAAGACGUGAACCCGGCGUCGUGGGGACGAUGACGUGUCGGCGCGGUUCAUCCAUGGCCACACAUGGCCCCUGGGAGGGGAGGGUGACGGUGGGGGCAGGGGCACGUGGGAAACCUCGGCAGAUGGCCUGCGGCUUACGUGAACCCAAAGCCACUCUAAAUAAAGGCUAGUUUCUACAACGCCUCCA